AUGAGCACGAAGCAUCGCGCGUUAAUGCGCCGUGCGAGGUUCAAGAUGUCUGUCAAGUACUGUAGCAGAAGCAGGUUCGGCUCUGAACGGGGAGCAACCAUGUCGUCGGUGUCCAGAUUUGUGCAGCGCUGGGAGAAAAGGAAAAGAAAACCUAGCUCCGCACGCUUCUUCCCCGUUCUGUCGAUCCCCUCUCCGCUCGCCUCCUCUCCCGGGUCGCUGCGCCGCUGGCUCAGCCGCUUCUCGUCCUCGACCAGAUCAGCGUCCAUCUUCAGCGGCGACGGCAUCUUCAGCGUAGGAGGCGGGUGGUCGUGGCGGCGGCAUCUUCAGCGGCGUCGCCGGACGAGCUCCACGCGCGGGGGAGAUAUCUCCACGGGCCCGCGCAACCACGUCCCCUCGCUAACGUCGGCCUCACAAAGAAGUGGUCUAGUCCGCCCGUGGCGCCGAGGAGGGGGAGCAGCCGCGCCCGGAGGAGGUCGUCCCCAACGCAUGCAUCUAGUCGUCGACCUUAACUACACUGCAGUCGCCGCUGCUGGUCCAGGUCGCCCAGUUGACACUGGCCCUGCCGGAGUGCAGCUCAUCCUGCCCGAGGACAUGAUACGUACGGUAUUUGGCAAUGUUAUCUCUUGGGCUGCCCAAUUGAUCACUGAAGCUGGUGGCAAGGUGGCCGCCAUCAGAGAUGUCACAGGGGCUGUCAAGAACUCCAAUGGCAUUGACAUAGCCAAGCCGAUGAAGCACUCGGCAGAGAACCGCGGGAUCAAGGGCUUCGACGGAGGCGAUGCUGUCGACCUGAUCUCCCUGCUCACGGAAGAGUGUGACGUGCUCAUCCCGGCAGCUCUGGGAGGAGUCAUAAACAAUAGAGAAAUGUACAUGUUCGUGGUGCAGAUUCUGGCAAAGAAGGGCGUGCUGAUCCUACUGGACAUCCUGGCCAACUCCGGCGGAGUGAUGGUGAGCUACUUCAAGUGGGUGCAGAACAUCUAG
rnacentral:rRNA from 1 species